rnacentral:lncRNA from 1 species
UUGAAUAUUAAAUAUACAAUUUUCAUCCAAAACCCUAAACAAUUUCCCCCUCCUUUCUCUUUCUAUAUCCUGCUUUUCCCCUUUCUCUCUCUUUAUCUUACGUCGUCGACGGCUGCACUCACAUGUCAGUGUCAGCGCAGCGCAGCGCAAACACAGUCUCUCCUCUCCUCUCCUAUAUCUAUAUCCACCUGCCGAUCGCAAGAGAUCCGUUCCCACCACCGCUCGUGCACACCUCCACCAAACCUUAAUCAAUUUCCCUCUCAUUUCUCUCUCUAUAUCUUACUCUCACCCUCGUCUCAUUCACUGAAUUGCAUUGGGAGCUGUAACGUCACCGUCAGGCUUCUCUUCAUCCACCGAUCGGAGCUACAGGGGUUUUGGAUCUAAUUUUGUGGUGGUUGUGGAGUGAUUUUGAGGUGUGUUUUGUUGGUAGUGGUGGUGAGGUUGCAAUGGUAAUUGUGGUGCCGAUUGGGCGACGUUGCUCGUGGCAUGAGCGCCGUUUUUAUAGUGGUCGAGGUGGGAAUGACUCUGGCUACUAUGUUGGAUUUUUAGCUGUAAGGGAUUUUUUAUGAUGUUUUGGUGUGAUCGUUGUGAUGUUGGCUGUAAUAAUGAGGUGGUGGUGAUGUUGGUGGUGGUUGCAUUAUGGUGCAGUGGUGAAGGUGUACGCGGGCAGUGGUGGGAACGGAGGUGUGGUGGGUGCGACGGAGAUGUGCUAUUGUGAUGCUACGAGUGCAAUGAUCAAGUGAGUGGUGUGGCGCUGUGCUAAGGAUGACAACGACUCGGGGCGGGGUGUCGUCCAAACCCCUUCUCGCUCCGCCUUAUACGGGGCGGGGCUAGAAGCUACUUUUUGCCCCGUUUAAUUUAUUUUUAUUUUUUUUACAUUUUCAAAAUUUCGAGUCAUGUUAUUAUUAGAGAAUAAAAUACAAAUUCAAAAUGAAUUUUUAACAAGGGAAUUGUCUAAAAAUAAAAUUAUUUUUAAUUUUUUUUUAUAUUUUUUUCCUUCACGGGGCGGGACAUCCCACCCCGCCUAGCCCCACCAACCUAUUCGGGGCGGGACGGAUUUUUUUGUCAUUAGUAUGCUGUGCGCGAUUGUAGUUGUUGUCGUGGUUGUGAUGGGUAGGGUGAGAUGAUGUGAUGGUUCUAAAGACGGUGAUUUUGGUAAUUUGAUAAUUUAUAAUUGUAUAAUAAGUUAUGACUUAUAAUAUUUAUAAUUUGUGAUCAAUAAAUAAAUCGUGAUUUAUAAAUUUUUUUAUUUGUGAUCGAUAAACAAACUGUGAUCUAUAAAAUUUUCGAAUUGUGAUCAUAAAAUAAUUUGUGACAUAAAAUUUCUAAUUUCUAAUUUAAUUAAUUUAUUAAUUAAAUAUAUUUAGGUCACAAAUCUAUUCAAUUUGUGACAUAAAAUUUCUAAUUUCUGACAAAAAAUAAUAAAUGGC